rnacentral:misc_RNA from 1 species
AUGCGUUGUUGGUGAUGACAUUCGUCUUGAGGUGAUGCGGUGUCAUGUUGCCUGUGUAUCCUGGUUUUGAGCUCUUUGAGCUUAAAACAUGUGGAUUAUCGGUUAGUGAUACGGCAUCGCUCCCUUGGUUGAUGAAAGUCGUCCAAUGAUGCGUUGUUCCGUAUGUUUUCUUCUCGCAUCGCUCGGUGCAUUCUGGGGUCAUUUUGGCUUUUGGCAGCUUGCUUGGCAAUUGAGCUUGGUGGGUUGCUAUUGGUUGGGUGUCUUCGGGGAUGUCUACCGUAAAGGUGCAUGAGUGGUGUUUGGUUUGUUACGGGUGGUUGGCUCUUUGCUUGCGCAACAACUUCCACCUGGCAUACCUCUUCAGUCUUGUGUCAAUGCUUCUGUUGCAUUGAAYGCACGGUGGGUUUCUUGUGUUGCAUGCCUAAUUAAUGGUAUCGUCUGAUGAAUCGGUUUUCCUUUUGUCUUGCGUCGCCUAUGUGAUGUGGGAUGAACCUUGAAGCAGCCUUUCUGAUCCACUCUUUUGAUGCAUACGCAUUGAUUUUGUGGCCCAUUGAGUGUUGCUUGGUCUCAUGGAUAUGGAACCUGGUGUGGGCAUGGAAUCCUAAUGGUUUCUUGUUUGCCCAAGUUUAGCUUUUCUAAAACGAUCGUCUAUCA